CCUACGGGCGGCAGCAGUGGGGAAUAUUGCGCAAUGGGCGAAAGCCUGACGCAGCGACGCCGCGUGAGGGAUGCAGGUCUUCGGAUCGUAAACCUCUGUCAGCAGGGAAGAACGGUCACUGUGCUAAUCAGCAGUGAAUUGACGGUACCUGCAAAGGAAGCACCGGCUAACUACGUGCCAGCAGCCGCGGUAAUACGGAGGGUGCGAGCGUUAAUCGGAAUUACUGGGCGUAAAGCGCUCGUAGGCGGUAUGUCAAGUCAAGGGUGAAAUCCCCGCGCUCAACGUGGGAACUGCCUUUGAAACUGGCAAACUGGGGUGUGUGAGAGGAUAGUGGAAUUCCAGGUGUAGGAGUGAAAUCCGUAGAUAUCUGGAGGAACAACAGUGGCGAAGGCGACUAUCUGGCACAUAACUGACGCUGAGGAGCGAAAGCGUGGGUAGCAAACAGGAUUAGAUACCCUUGUAGUC
rnacentral:rRNA from 1 species